rnacentral:rRNA from 1 species
GACGAACGCUGGCGGCGGGCUUAACACAUGCAAGUCGAACGGAAAGGCCCUGCUUUUGUGGGGUGCUCGAGUGGCGAACGGGUGAGUAACACGUGAGUAACCUGCCCUUGACUUUGGGAGAACUUCAGGAAACUGGGGCUAAUACCGGAUAGGAGCUCCUGCUGCAUGGUGGGGGUUGGAAAGUUUCGGCGGUUGGGGAUGGACUCGCGGCUUAUCAGCUUGUUGGUGGGGUAGUGGCUUACCAAGGCUUUGACGGGUAGCCGGCCUGAGAGGGUGAACGGCCACAUUGGGACUGAGAUACGGCCCAGACUCCUACGGGAGGCAGCAGUGGGGAAUAUUGCACAAUGGGCGGAAGCCUGAUGCAGCAACGCCGCGUGCGGGAUGACGGCCUUCGGGUUGUAAACCGCUUUCGCCUGUGACGAAGCGUGAGUGACGGUAAUGGGUAAAGAAGCACCGGCUAACUACGUG